UACGUAGGGUGCGAGCGUUAAUCGGAAUUACUGGGCGUAAAGCGUGCGUAGACGGUCAAGUAAGUCGGGUGUGAAAGCCCCGGGCUCAACCUGGGAAUUGCAUUCGAGACUGCGUGGCUAGGGUGCGGAAGAGGGAAGCGGAAUUUCCGGUGUAGCGGUGAAAUGCGUAGAUAUCGGAAGGAACACCAGUGGCGAAAGCGGCUCCUGGUCCAGCACCGACGUUCAGGCACGAAAGCGUGGGGAGCAAACAGGG
rnacentral:rRNA from 1 species